rnacentral:tRNA from 1 species
GCUCGUGUGGCGUAAUGGCAACGCGUCUGACUUCUAAUCAGAAGAUUNACCCCCGCCAUGAGCU